ACUCCAUUAGAAAAAAGAGCUGCUAUGCUUUGUUCUCAUUUUCAUUUGAAUCUUAAAAAAAAUAAAAACCCUAAGCCGCCAAUUUGGUGUUCUUGGAAACUCGGAAGCUUCUUUUUCUGGUCUUGAAAUGGCUUCAAAAUGCAACAGAUUGAUCAACAGAACAUCCAUAUCUUCCCUCAAAUCCGCCAUUAAAUCGAAUCUCCGAACACCUUCUUCAGCUUCCAUUGACAGACCUCCAACUUCCUCAACAAGGCUCCCUCUCCCAUCCAGAUCCACUUCCUCUCCAUUCCGCCGAUUCUCCUCCAGAACUCUGGCAGAGCUUGGGUGCGUGGAGUCUUUGUUGCCUCUACAUAGUAGGGUUGCGGCAGCUAGGAUGACAUCGCACUUGAGCUCAACUUCCAGGAAUAGCAGAGCACUUUCACAGGGUACACUCUGCCGUACCUCUCCCGACCUCUAAUGUACAUUUUUGUUAUUUUACUAUGAUGCACAUGAAUUUCCAUGCUUGAAAGAAAUAUCUGGGAUUUCACAAGACCUGUCAAUUAUGAUUCUGUGCCUCAUUACCAAAGCUUGGUGAGUCUGUUCCAAGGUGACUGUUAGCAGAGACGGUUGCUAUGAGAAAAAAGUUGUCUUCACAUGAUUGGAAAAAGCAAGGUUUUGUAAUUCAUCCUGACAAAUUCUCAUCCAUUUUGGAGAACUGCUUGAAUUUUACAUAGCUGAAAAACUAAUUCUGAUUAUGCACAACUCUGAUGGACGUGUUACGUGAAAAAUAAGUACGAAGAACUAGCCUUUAUUAUUUUUAUAUGUUAUUUAAUUGGUUGUGAAGUGUUGACGUCCAAAUUGUUCUAAAUUCUGAGUUGCUUAAUCACUUAUUGCCCUUUGGAGUGGUCUCUUUUAUUUCUCGCCAAGAACCCGCAGUUUUGUUCCAAAUGGUUGAUGUUUAAUGUUAAUUGUUGGUUAAAUGAGAGCA